rfam:Myotis brandtii contig155548, whole genome shotgun sequence.
GGUGGUUCUUGGUGACACACCCUGGAAUCGGACUCCCUCCUGUCUGGUUCCAGCGCAUCACCCGAGAACCGCA